UACGGCCUUAUUACAUUGAAACUUUGGUUCUCGUACUAUCACCGAAGUUAAGCAACGUCGCGCCUCGUCAGUACCUAGAUGGGUGACCGCUUGGGAAUACCAGGUGCUGUAAG